UUCAAAUAAAAAAGGGCUUUUGACGGAUACCUAGGUAUUUAGAGGCGAUGAAGGACGUAGUUACCGACGAUAUUCUUUGAGGAGCUGGAAACAAGCUAUGAUUCAAAGGUCUCCGAAUAGAGCAAUCUAGAAAACUUCUUUUUGAAAUCAAAUAGAAAAGAAAGAGCAAACCUGGUGAAUUGAAACAUCUUAGUAGCCAGAGGAAAAGAAAGCAACAGCGAUUUCCUUAGUAGCGGCGAGCGAAACGGAACAAGUCUAAACUUUUUCAAAUUAUAGAAAAAGGGUUGUGGGAACUUUAAUUAAAAUUAUAUUUUUUCUGUAAAGCAAAUCAUUUGGAAUAAUGAACGAUACAAGGUGAAAGUCCCGUAGUUUUAGAAAAAAAAAUAUGUCGAAAGAUUUCCCGAGUAGCUUGGGACAUGUGAAAUCCCGAGUGAAUCCGCGAGAACCAUCUCGUAAGACUAAAUACUCCUAAAUAACCGAUAGAGAAUAGUACCGUGAGGGAAAGGUGAAAAGAACCCUGAGUUGGGAGUGAAAUAGACCAUGAAAUCAAAAGCUUACAAGCAGUAGGAGGUAUAUAAAAUACUGACUGCGUGCCUGUUGAAGAAUGUGCCUGCGAAUUAUAAAAGAUGGCUUGGUUAAUACGCUACGCGUUGAAGCCUAAGUGAAAGCGAGCUUGAAGAGAGCGAUUGUCAGCUUUUAUAGACCCGAACCCAGGUGAUCUAACCAAGGCCAGAAUGAAGCUUCAGUAAAAUGAAGUAGAGGUUCGAACUCACUGAUGUUGAAAAAUCAGGAGAUGAGCUUUGGUUAGCGGAGAAAUUCCAAUCGAACUUGGAGCUAGCUGGUUCUCCCCGAAAUGUGUUUUGGUACAGCCUUUCAUUAAGAACUAAUCAGGGGUAAAGCACUGUGUUGGUGCGGGCUGUGAAAACGGUACCAAAUCAAUGCAAACUCUGAAUACUGAUUAUGAAUACAAUGAUCGAGUGAGACUGUGGGGGAUAAGCUUCAUAGUCAAAAGGGAAACAGCCCAGACCAUCAGUUAAGGCCCCUAAAUAAUAACUAAGUGGAAAAAGAGGUGAAAAUGCUUAAACAACCAGGAGGUUUGCUUAGAAGCAGCCAUCCUUUAAAGAGUGCGUAAUAGCUCACUGGUCUAGCGUUUUUGCACUGAAAAUGAACGGGACUAAGUUAUUUGCCGAAGCUAUGGGCUUUGUAAAAAGCGGUAGGGGAGCGUUCUGUCGUAAAGAGAAGUAAAAUUGAAAAAUUUUAUGGAUGAAACAGAAGUGAGAAUGUAGGCUUGAGUAACGAAAACAUUGGUGAGAAUCCAAUGCCCCGAAAACCCAAGGGUUCCCUCCGCAAGGUUCGUCCGCGAGGGGUGAGUCAAGACCUAAGGCGAGGCUGAAAAGCGUAGUCGAUGACAAACAGGCGAACAUUCCUGUACUACAGUAUGUUUGUAAAAAGUGACAAAGGUGGCUAUCCACACUCUUUUUAUGGCUUAAAGAGUGAAAAUGAUCAAGACUAGAAAAAGUAGAGAAAAUACUUUUUGUUAAGACAUGAAAAAUCGGAAACGUCAGACUUUCGAGAAAAUCUUUUCAUACGAAAAACAUACCGUACUUGUACCGUAAACCGACACAGGUGGGUAAGUAGAGUAUACUAAGGGGCGCGAGAUAACUCUCUCUAAGGAACUCGGCAAAAUGGCCCCGUACCUUCGGAAGAUGGGGUACCUUUUUAAAAAGGUUGCAAUAACCAGGCCCAGGCGACUGUUUACCAAAAACACAGGUCUCCGCAAAGUCGUAAGACAACGUAUGGGGGCUGACGCCUGCCCAGUGCCGGAAGGUUAAAGAAUCUUGUUAGAUUAUUCGAAGCUCGAAACUGAAGCCCCGGUGAACGGCGGCCGUAACUAUAACGGUCCUAAGGUAGCAAAAUUCCUUGUCGGGUAAGUUCCGACCCGCACGAAAGGCGUAACGAUCUGGGCGCUGUCUCGGAGAGAGACUCGGUGAAAUAGAAUUGUCUGUGAAGAUGCGGACUACCUCCAUCAGGACAGAAAGACCCUAUGAAGCUUUACUGUAAUUUGAAAUUGUAGUUGGGCUUUUCUUGCGCAGCUUAGGUGGAAGGCGUUGAUAUUUAUUUUCUGGAAUAAAAGGAGCCAUCAGUGAGAUACCACCCUUGAAAAGUUGAACUACUAAUCUUUUGCCGUUAGCCGGCUAAGAAACAGUUUUUGAUGGACAGUUUGACUGGGGCGGUCGCCUCCCAAAAGGUAACGGAGGCGUGCAAAGGUUCUCUCAGACUAGAUGGAAAUUAGUCGCUGAGUGUAAAGGCAAAAGAGAGCUUGACUGAGAGACCUACAAGUCGAUCAGGGACGAAAGUCGGCCUUAGUGAUCCGGCGGUUUUUUAUGGAUAAGCCGCCGCUCAACGGAUAAAAGCUACUCUAGGGAUAACAGGCUGAUCUCCCCCAAGAGUUCACAUCGACGGGGAGGUUUGGCACCUCGAUGUCGGCUCAUCGCAUCCUGGGGCGGUAGUACGUCCCAAGGGUUGGGCUGUUCGCCCAUUAAAGCGGUACGUGAGCUGGGUUCAAAACGUUGUGAAACAGUUUGGUCCAUAUCCGAUGGAGGCGUAAGAGUAUUGAAAGGAUCUUUUCCUAGUACGAGAGGACCGGAAAGGACAUGCCUCUGGUGUACCAGUUAUUUUGCCAAAAGUAAACGCUGGGUAGCUAAGCAUGGAGUGGAUAACUGCUGAAAGCAUCUAAGUAGGAAGCCCACCUUAAGAUGAGUACUCUUUUAUACUAAUAGAUUCAUAAUUAGUAUAAAGAAACCACGGCAAGAACAGCCGUUGAUAGGUAGCAAGUGUAAGUGUGGUAACAUAUUCAGCUGAGCUAUACUAAUAGGUUCAAAAUUUGAAU
rnacentral:rRNA from 1 species